rnacentral:rRNA from 1 species
AUUGAACGCUGGCGGCAUGCCUAACACAUGCAAGUCGAACGAGAAAGCUCUUCGGAGUGAGUACAGUGGCGGACGGGUGCGUAAUGCUUGGGAAUCUGCCCAACAGGUGGGGGAUAACUCGAGGAAACUCGGGCUAAUACCGCAUACUUCCUACGGGAGAAAGGGGGCCUCGGCUCUCGCUGUUAGAUGAGCCCAAGUCCGAUUAGCUUGUUGGUGGGGUAAAGGCCUACCAAGGCGACGAUCGGUAGCUGGUCUGAGAGGACGAUCAGCCACACUGGAACUGAGACACGGUCCAG